GAUGAACGCUAGCGGCAGGCCUAAUACAUGCAAGUCGAACGAGAUUAAGAGGCUUGCUUCUUAUGAAAGUGGCGCACGGGUGCGUAACGCGUAUGCAACCUACCUUAAUCAGGGGGAUAGCCCGAAGAAAUUCGGAUUAAGACCGCAUAAAAACACAGGAUAGCAUUAUCCAAUGUUCAAAUAUUUAUAGGAUUAAGAUGGGCAUGCGUGUCAUUAGCUAGUUGGCGGGGUAACGGCCCACCAAGGCGACGAUGACUAGGGGAUCUGAGAGGAUGACCCCCCACACUGGAACUGAGACACGGACCAGACUCCUACGGGAGGCAGCAGUAAGGAAUAUUGGUCAAUGGAGGGAACUCUGAACCAGCCAUGCCGCGUGCAGGAAGACAGCCCUCUGGGUCGUAAACUGCUUUUAUUCGGGAAUAAACCUUUCUACGUGUAGGAAGCUGAAUGUACCGAAGGAAUAAGGAUCGGCUAACUCCGUG
rnacentral:rRNA from 1 species